AACGCUAGCUACAGGCUUAACACAUGCAAGUCGAGGGGAAACGACAUCGAAAGCUUGCUUUUGAUGGGCGUCGACCGGCGCACGGGUGAGUAACGCGUAUCCAACCUGCCCACCACUUGGGGAUAACCUUGCGAAAGUAAGACUAAUACCCAAUGAUAUCUCUAGAAGACAUCUGAAAGAGAUUAAAGAUUUAUCGGUGAUGGAUGGGGAUGCGUCUGAUUAGCUUGUUGGCGGGGUAACGGCCCACCAAGGCAACGAUCAGUAGGGGUUCUGAGAGGAAGGUCCCCCACAUUGGAACUGAGACACGGUCCAAACUCCUACGGGAGGCAGCAGUGAGGAAUAUUGGUCAAUGGACGAGAGUCUGAACCAGCCAAGUAGCGUGCAGGAAGACGGCCCUAUGGGUUGUAAACUGCUUUUAUAAGGGAAUAAAGUGAGUCUCGUGAGACUUUUUGCAUGUACCUUAUGAAUAAGGACCGGCUAAUUCCGUGCCAGCAGCCGCGGUAAUACGGAAGGUCCGGGCGUUAUCCGGAUUUAUUGGGUUUAAAGGGAGCGUAGGCCGGAGAUUAAGCGUGUUGUGAAAUGUAGACGCUCAACGUCUGCACUGCAGCGCGGACUGGCAGACUUGAGUGUGCGCAACGUAGGCGGAAUUCGUGGUGUAGCGGUGAAAUGCUUAGAUAUCACGAAGAACUCCGAUUG
rnacentral:rRNA from 1 species